rnacentral:lncRNA from 1 species
GUCGUCACUCGGUCGCGCGCCCUCCGCCCACGCGCUCCUCUCAGAUCCUGAGCCCUUGGUCCCGGGACGCUAUCGCCUCAUCUUUCCCUCCUUGAGGUCCAGCCUGGCCCAAUGAUGACUGCCUGGUCCUGCGGGGCUACCUGCCAGGGCGGGCGGGCGCAGGUGCUGAGCGGACUUUGCAACAGGAAGCACGGGUCAGCCUUGGAAAGAAGGCGGACACUCUUAGGUGGGUCAGGGCAAAAGAAAGAGAGACCCAGGCUCUGAAAUCUUGUCUUUCCACGCGAUCUCCUCAAAGACCAACACAGUGGCACCCUCCCCCUGCUUCCAGCUCCUCUCCAAGCCUUGUGUGAUUUUGGGGUUGGGGUACUUCGUUACCACCACAGCUAGAUAGACCUUCCAUCUUUCAGGACCUGCUCCUCGGCCCUCCAGUUCAGCCCUAAUAGGGUGAGGUGGGAACUGAAGAACGCCAAGCCCUGGGUAGUGAGUACACUGGGAAGAUUCACACAACUCCUGCUGGAUUUCAGUCCCAAAGCUGCCCUGACUCUCUACCCAAACUGUAUUAACUGCCUUGGGGGUGAAAGAAGGCCCCCGUAGAGCUAAGGUGCCAGCAGAGGGUUUGCAGGUAGAGGCAGUGAGAGGGGAGCCUGAUGGGGGGGGGGGAGGCGGUUGCCUAGCAACCCCACAGCUGUCUGUUGACCUAGAAGACGCUGUGCAGUCUUGACACAGCUGGUGUUUACAUGUAACCGAGGCUCUGGCUUAGUGCUUGCUUGGAGCAAAGCUGAGGCAGGGCCCUCGUGGCAGCCUGGUCCCAACCCUGCCCGUCGUGGGCUCCAUGUCUGCCUGCCCUGUUUACACCUCUGCCAUCUCAAGUCCACAGAGAAAGGAGCAGAAGAAAGCAGACCUGAGGCUUUGGGAAGGGCAAAGGUACAUGCUCAAACACAACCCGAAGGCCUUCCACACAGAAUAGGGAGAGACUUGGAAAAGCAAACCGCGGGCUUGAGGCGUGGCUCAGCAAUGGGGAGAUCUUGAUGCUCUUCCAGUGGACACCAGAGGUACGGUUCCCAGCACCACCCGCGUGGCAGCUCACAACUGCCUGUCAUUUCAGUGCCAGGGGAUUUAACGCCCUCUUCUGGCCUUGGUGGGCAUGUCUACAUAUGACACAGAGAGAAAUGCAUGUGUACAUGGCACGUGGUGGUACAGGUAUGCACAUGGUGCACAUAUGCACAAGCAGGCAACACACACACACACACACACACACACACACAUUUCAAAAUAUAUAGCUUUAGAAAAGAAAAACAGAAGGAUACCACAUGCCAGUGCCACAGAGAACAGCCACGCACACGGGGACACCUGGUCACAAAUCAAGUGACAGAGGCAUAUGCCAAGAGGUGAUGCAUGCCUGUAAGUCCUGGCACUUGAGGAGGCAGAUGCUGUAGGAUGAGGUUUCCAUGGUCAGCCUUUGUCUCAUGGAGGAUUCAAGGCUAGCCUGGACUACAUGAGACCAUGUCACAAAACAAAAUGCAAAGAAGUGACAUAGGAAUCCAGCCCAUCACAGAGAUGCCUAAAGGCACACACACACACACACACACACACACACUACAGGAACACAGUUAUCACAUAUUUGACGCAUGGACACAGAUAUACCUGCAGAUAGAUUGACACCAAAGACAGGCACGGACCAUCCAAUAGACACACUCAGAGCCCACCAGCAACUCCCACACACGCCCAGCUUAUAUAGUAUUUGCAGGGCUGUGUGACAAAAGACAAAAGCCCACAUACAUAGUCAGCCACAUGUGCUCAGUAGCACACAAGGACACAUUCUUCCCUUCAAUUGAGUGCCCACAGUGCCCAAGGCAGAUAGUGGCUGAAACCACCAGCACAGGAAGACACACCCAGGAGCCCCACAGGACCACAGGCCCUGACAUGUCCCACCUGAACCUACACAUGUACUCAAGGCACAAACAUGUGGCAGCCCAGGGUGUGGUAAGGACAGAGUUGAGGCUUCUCCCCACCCACAAGCUGUCCAUAGUGACACAUCUGCCUUGAAGUUGGAAGGUCCCUAGUCCCAGGAACAGGGCUGAAUGAACCCCCAUGCUGCCAGCUGCAUCCCUAAUCCUCAGUUCCAGGGAACAGACAGUACCCAGACAGUGCCAUCGGUUCCCUCAGGGAUUCUCUAUCUGGAUGAGCAUAGGGCCCCCUAAUCUCUCAAGUCUCUGGACCGACAAAGGGGGGAAGGUCCUGCCCCAGAAACCUGGAGUAUGAUGGAAACGUAUCUCCUUCAAGGAGAGCUUCAGACACAUACAUAUAGAGACACAUAUGAGCAAGUGACAGGUUUGGGGCGGGACGCGGCCUGGAGGGCUUCCUGAAAGAGGCGAACCUGGAGUCUGGCUUUGGAACCUAGAAAAACUAGAAGCAGGAAGGAUGAACAUAUUGAAAAGGGCCUCCUUUCCUUCCCUGUCCCAACCCCUCAUCCAGCAGUUCCUCCUCCCCCAGGGCCCAAGGGGCCGGCUGGGGCCCCACAGUCCCAUCAGCCCCAGCCAUGAGCAGAAGGAGGAGAGAGGAUAUUUUUAGCUUCUCUGCCGCUGACAUUUCGCAGCAGGCGACCUGGGGUGAAGCUGAGUGAGUGCUGAAGGCUGGGAGAAGCCGACAGCGCCUUCCCGCCCCCACACACACGCACACAGAGCUGUGCACACACAGCCCUGUCCCCAACACUAGCAAUGCCAUGUCAUGACACAGCUUCAGGUAUGCAGUUCCACACUGAGGCACACACAGGCACCCGAGAGCACCAAUUCGGUUCACAUGUCACGCGUGACAGAAACCUCUCCUAUCUGGACACGCACAAUAAAAAAUGUCCAUUCGUUGAGCCGGGCAGUGGUGGCGCACGCCUUUAAUCCCAGCACUUGGGAGGCAGAGGCAGGCAGAUUUCUGAGUUCGUGGCCGGCCUGGGAGUUUAUACCCAGUCUGUGGGACCCCAGAAUCCACAGAGUGAAGAGGGAGCGUUGAUCCCCAGAGAUUUGACCUCUGACCUCCCCUGUUCCUGAUGUCCGAGAGCACACGUGCUAAAAGAACGUAAUUACCCUUUUAUUUCUUUGUUCGUUUCAGAGACAGAGUCUCUCUAUGUGGCCCUGGCUGUCCUAGAACUUGCUAUGUAGACCAGGCUGGCCUCGAACUCACAGAGAUCCUCCUGCCUCUUCUUCUCAC